AUGGUGAUGAGCACUCCGAAAAGGUUUGCAGAGGCGCUGAGCGGCUACGAGCCGCGCUGCAAGCUGGCCUGUGCGGAAGAGGGAGAGUCGAUGGACAGCUUCGGGAGCAAGUGGAGUCCUUGCUCGCAGGUGAAGGAUGAGUACCCUGCGGGGGGCCCGGCCAGCGUCAGUGUCGCCGGAAGCCCCCUCAGUUUCCGCUCGGGCAACACUUCCGACUUCGCCGAUGUUUCCGGCACCUUCGACGAUGAUGAAGAAGAAGAAUUCGCCCAGUGCAAGAAGGAAGACAAGAAGACGCCCAAGAAGAAACAGCGCAGGAACGCGAGGGCUAAAAGCCCUACACAGGUACGAUGCAAAUUUUCAAGCAUCCUCUCUAUUCUAAUAAAAUCAUUUUUAAGACGGUCGAUGGACGGGUGAGGAAGAAGAGUAAGACGGUCGAUUGGCUGGGGUGAGGAUGAGGAGUUCAAAGUCCAACUUAGGCAACUUCAAUUUGUUCGUCCGGGAGAUUUCGACAAUUUCGCUGGCCGCGAACCAGCAGCCUCUAGGGGCGCGUAGCAGCCAGAGGGCGGAGCCGUCUAGUCAUGAUAUAGAUUUGCAAGCUGAAUGCACCAUCAAUUGCAUCAACAUGAUAACACUUUUCAAACGUCCUGAAUAAAUCAUUAAUUACUCAUUUAAGGCGUGGGAGAUUACUCCAUCAAAAACACUGAAAAACGAGGAAAAAAUAAUUUCGGCAAUAUCCGCGCUCCAAGGAAAAUCUCAGCAGCUGAAGCUUCGACUCUAAGUCCUGGUUGCCAAAAUACGGCACAACAACCCAAAGUUUGGUGUUGUGUUCCAAGCUUCUAUCGAAUCGCGGCUUCAGCCGCCAAGCAAUUUGGAAUGCGGGUGUUGCUGAAGUUUUCUUUAUCGUGUGCUGAAGGAAAGCUAAGUGCCCAUGAAGAGGGGGCUUUCACCCCGUUUUCUUCUCACUCUCGAAAUUCCAUAAUCUGUUCUCACUGUCACUCAAGUUAGAUUAAACCCUCCUAGGUGCUAUUUGAAGCAGAAACAAAAGACGCAUUUGGUGGUGAAACCGAUAGUAUUCCGUUUGCCGGUUUUUUCGUCAGCAUUGCGAAUAGUAGUUGAUUAUUUUCAACGGCGCCAGGACUACUCACCCACAGUCUUUUUGCCUGCGGGACUAUUCACCCACACGUUUCCACCCAAGACUUUUUAACCCAUGGAUAUUCACACGCAACCCUUUUGACCUACAUGUUUUUUUACCUAAAAGCGUUUCCAUCAAGUUCCAAGUCGCAAAAGUUAGGUUUGAGCUCCACUCUCGCGGUCACGUCUGAAUAACUAGCAACUGGAGUGAGAAAUUAAGUUCGCCUUCA
rnacentral:lncRNA from 1 species